AUUGAACGCUGGCGGCAUGCCUUACACAUGCAAGUCGAGCGGUAACAGGUCUUCGGAUGCUGACGAGUGGCGAACGGGUGAGUAAUACAUCGGAACGUGCCCGAGAUUGGGGGAUAACGCAGCGAAAGCUUUGCUAAUACCGCAUACGAUCUCAGGAUGAAAGCAGGGGACCGCAAGGCCUUGCGCUCACGGAGCGGCCGAUGGCAGAUUAGGUAGUUGGUGGGAUAAAAGCUUACCAAGCCGACGAUCUGUAGCUGGUCUGAGAGGACGACCAGCCACACUGGGACUGAGACACGGCCCAGACUCCUACGGGAGGCAGCAGUGGGGAAUUUUGGACAAUGGGCGCAAGCCUGAUCCAGCCAUGCCGCGUGCAGGAUGAAGGCCUUCGGGUUGUAAACUGCUUUUGUACGGAACGAAAAGACUCUGGUUAAUACCUGGGGUCCAUGACGGUACCGUAAGAAUAAGCACCGGCUAACUACGUGCCAGCCGCCGCAGUAA
rnacentral:rRNA from 1 species